AUUGAACGCUGGCGGCAGGCCUAACACAUGCAAGUCGAACGAGUGGCGGACGGGUGAGUAAUGUCUGGGAAACUGCCUGAUGGAGGGGGAUAACUACUGGAAACGGUAGCUAAUACCGCAUACCAUCGGAUGUGCCCAGAUGGGAUUAGCUAGUAGGUGGGGUAAAGGCUCACCUAGGCGACGAUCCCUAGCUGGUCUGAGAGGCUGACCAGCCAAACUGGAACUGAGACACGGUCCAGACGCCUACGGGAGGCAGCAGAGGGGAAUAUUGCACAAUGGGCGAAAGCCUGAUGCAGCCAUGCCGCGUGUAUGAAGAAGGCCUUCGGGUGGUAAAGUACGUUCAGCGGGGAGGCGUUACCCGCAGAAGAAGCACCGGCUAACUCCGUGCCAGCAGCAGCGGUAAGAC
rnacentral:rRNA from 1 species